rnacentral:rRNA from 1 species
UGGGGAAUUUUGGACAAUGGGCGAAAGCCUGAUCCAGCAAUGCCGCGUGUGUGAAGAAGGCCUUCGGGUUGUAAAGCACUUUUGUCCGGAAAGAAAUCCUUGGCUCUAAUACAGUCGGGGGAUGACGGUACCGGAAGAAUAAGCACCGGCUAACUACGUGCCAGCAGCCGCGGUAAUACGUAGGGUGCAAGCGUUAAUCGGAAUUACUGGGCGUAAAGCGUGCGCAGGCGGUUUGCUAAGACCGAUGUGAAAUCCCCGGGCUCAACCUGGGAACUGCAUUGGUGACUGGCAGGCUAGAGCAUGGCAGAGGGGGGUAGAAUUCCACGUGUAGCAGUGAAAUGCGUAGAGAUGUGGAGGAAUACCGAUGGCGAAGGCAGCCCCCUGGGCCAAUACUGACGCUCAUGCACGAAAGCGUGGGGAGCAAACAGGAUUAGAUACCCUGGUAGUCCACGCCCUAAACGAUGUCAACUAGUUGUUGGGGAUUCAUUUCCUAGUAACGUAGCUACGCGUGAAGUUGACCGCCUGGGGAGUACGG